UACGGAGGGUGCGAGCGUUACUCGGAAUUACUGGGCGUAAAGCGCGCGUAGGUGGCGUGAUAAGCCGGUUGUGAAAGCCCCGGGCUCAACCUGGGAACGGCAUCCGGAACUGUCAGGCUAGAGUGCAGGAGAGGAAGGUAGAAUUCCCGGUGUAGCGGUGAAAUGCGUAGAGAUCGGGAGGAAUACCAGUGGCGAAGGCGGCCUUCUGGACUGACACUGACGCUGAGGUGCGAAAGCGUGGGUAGCAAACAGG
rnacentral:rRNA from 1 species